rnacentral:misc_RNA from 1 species
GUAUAACUGUCUAGUGUGUCUAACUGCUUAGCCAAAUUUACUAAGCUCAAUGCCUAGUUAAAAAUGAAAGAAAGAAAUCAAACAAGAAAUAAAGAAUGAUGAGACAGUAGUCAAAUAGUUGUUAUAGCACUUGUUGUUUUAAUUUGCAGGAAUAAUUAUCUAGUAGAAGUGAUGUUGCAUAAAUAACCGAAAAAGUUAUAUCAGGAUCAAUUAAGGGAGUGUUUUCUUUAAAGAUAGAUGGUCU